rnacentral:rRNA from 1 species
GUUGACCUCGGAUCAGGUAGGGAUACCCGCUGAACUUAAGCAUAUCAAUAAGCGGAGGAAAAGAAACCAACAGGGAUUGCCUCAGUAACGGCGAGUGAAGCGGCAACAGCUCAAAUUUGAAAUCUGGCGCCUUCGGCGUCCGAGUUGUAAUUUGUAGAGGAUGUUUCGGCGAGGGCUCCCGUCUAAGUCCCUUGGAACAGGGCGUCGCAGAGGGUGAGAAUCCCGUAUGUGAUGGGUUGCUCGAGCCAUGUGAAACUCCUUCGACGAGUCGAGUUGUUUGGGAAUGCAGCUCUAAAUGGGAGGUAAAUUUCUUCUAAAGCUAAAUACCGGCCAGAGACCGAUAGCGCACAAGUAGAGUGAUCGAAAGAUGAAAAGCACUUUGGAAAGAGAGUUAAAAAGUACGUGAAAUUGUUGAAAGGGAAGCGCUUGCAACCAGACUCGCGCGCAGUUGCUCAGCCGGUCUCCUGACCGGUGUACUCUUCUGCGUCCGGGCCAGCAUCAGUUCGGGCGGUCGGAUAAAGGCCUCGGGAAUGUGGCUCCCCUCGGGGAGUGUUAUAGCCCGGGGUGCAAUGCGGCCAGCCUGGACUGAGGAACUCGCUUCGGCUAGGAUGCUGGCGUAAUGGUUGUAAGCGGCCCGUCUUGAAACACGGACCAAGGAGUCUAACAUCUAUGCGAGUGUUUGGGUGUCAAACCCAUGCGCGUAAUGAAAGUGAACGGAGGUGGGAACCCUCACGGGUGCACCAUCGACCGAUCCUGAUGUCUUCGGAUGGAUUUGAGUAAGAGCAUAGCUGUUGGGACCCGAAAG